CCUCUCUCUUGCCUCCCUCACACCAGCCACGAAGGUUUUCAAAGUAAUAUGUGGCCCAGUCUGGCUAAUGAAAUAUAAAAUAUACUGGAAAGCUUUUGGGGAAAUCUCCUCCAUGAAAACAAGAACCUUUGUGAAGAAAAAAUGCGCAGUCCCAUGAUUUGCUUGCCCUUGGACCCCCCUCUCCCACUGCAGUCUUGCCUCUGAAUGUACCUGCUUCAAGUAUGUGAUACUUGGGACGGUUGCAGGCCACGGGGCAGUCAUGAGAUCACACGAAUCUUUGAAAUGCUAAUGCUGAGCGCUAAUAUCACUGGCCACUAAAUCAACAUUAGUAGCCAUUAUGUAUUUGCAGACUUCUUGUUAUUGCAGAACAAUAAACAGCUGAAUGGAGGC